rnacentral:rRNA from 1 species
GUCGAACGGAGAACUUUCUUCGGAAUGUUCUUAGUGGCGAACGGGUGAGUAACGCGUAGGCAACCUGCCCUCUGGUUGGGGACAACAUUCCGAAAGGGAUGCUAAUACCGAAUGUGAUCCUUCUUUCGCAUGAAGGAAGGAUGAAAGAUGGCCUCUACUUGUAAGCUAUCGCCAGAAGAUGGGCCUGCGUCUGAUUAGUUAGUAGGUGGGGUAACGGCUCACCUAGGCGAUGAUCAGUAGCCGGUCUGAGAGGAUGAACGGCCACAUUGGGACUGAGACACGGCCCAAACUCCUACGGGAGGCAGCAGUGGGGAAUCUUCCGCAAUGGACGAAAGUCUGACGGAGCAACGCCGCGUGAGUGAUGAAGGUCUUCGGAUUGUAAAACUCUGUUGUCAGGGACGAAUGCACCGAUUUAUAAUACACUUUGGUGUUGACGGUACCUGACGAGGAAGCCACGGCUAACUACGUGCCAGCAGCCGCGGUAAUACGUAGGUGGCAAGCGUUGUCCGGAAUUAUUGGGCGUAAAGAGCAUGUAGGCGGGCUUUUAAGUCCGACGUGAAAAUGCGGGGCUUAACCCCGUAUGGCGUUGGAUACUGGGAGUCUUGAGUGCAGGAGAGGAAAGGGGAAUUCCCAGUGUAGCGGUGAAAUGCGUAGAUAUUGGGAGGAACACCAGUGGCGAAGGCGCCUUUCUGGACUGUGUCUGACGCUGAGAUGCGAAAGCCAGGGUAGCAAACGGGAUUAGAUACCCCGGUAGUCCUGGCCGUAAACGAUGGGUACUAGGUGUAGGAGGUAUCGACCCCUUCUGUGCCGGAGUUAACGCAAUAAGUACCCCGCCUGGGGACUACGAUCGCAAGAUUGAAACUCAAAGGAAUUGACGGGGGCCCGCACAAGCGGUGGAGUAUGUGGUUUAA